UUUUUUUUGUAACACAACAACACAGGUCUCACCCCGUACAUUUUGUACGUCGAUAACCAAGAGGAAACAGAUCGUUAUAAACGACAAGGUUCACUAGUCUUCAACGGUAGAGAAAUAGACGAACUGUCAUAUCAGUUCUUAUAACCUUUUCUAAUACAAUUUGUAAAAAGAAGUUCUAAUGGACUCCACAAGACGUUCCGGAUAUCUGUCCAACUAGGAGGACAAGUAUGAUCGUACUCUGUGGAAAAGCCUUGUACCUUUCCUCACAAAAGAGGCCGAAGUGACGUUUACUAACUCUUCCUUGAACCAAAAGUUAGUAGAUGAUUACCCAGUAGUCCACGACGUGGUAGCUUCCGGCUAAGAGGUAGGGUCGCGGGUAGGGUGUCGUAUGUACAUUUGGGUUUUAUAAACCUUCGUUCUGUCGUCGAGGUUGUUGGUUUAUUCCCCUAAGACCCUCGGCCACGGUUCUGUGGAUAUUAAAGACUACGACUACUACAAUAGCUUUCCCCAUUAUCCUAACCUUAACUAUUUCCGUGUCCCUCUGCUGACCUAUGAGACUUGAGAUCCGGAGCACGAGUCUUCCUAUGAAAAUCAUUGGGGUAAGUACUUUUCGGUCUGUCUCUACACUCCCCGGGACCUUAACGCCCUCGACCAGUUCAAGCGAGUUUCGGGUUUCCGGUUCUACCUUAACACCCAAGUAUAAUGUGACCUCCACAACCAAGGGGACUUCUUUAUAAACUGUCUGCGUUGGUAAACAUACGUAGAUUCCUACAAGCGAGAAGGCCGAGACAUGCAAACCUGUCACGUGAAGAGGGUUGAGGCCAGUCAUUAAGACUAUCCUAACCAUCUAACAGUAGUAGACUAUUUUCGACCUUCUUGAGACUCCUUCUUCUCAUGUAGACCCUGCUGUAUGCAAGAGUUCCUCGUCUAAUACCUCCACGGUCAAGACGUUCUUUUCCUCUUGGGAACCGACUACUACAGUUAUAAUCUUCGAAGGUAUCCCGAUUAACCCGUCUCGGACGUCUGGGCAACCUGGGACUGAAGGUGUUUGUUCUAUGGUAGGGUUCUAAACCUGUAGGUUGUUCGGUUCUGUCUUCUGAACGUGCCAUGUACCUAGUACGUCUCAUAGAAGUAUCAUUCGCACUCCCCCUGGGUUCUUAACUAUCCCUUUACACCGGACUUCCUGUUGUCAAGGGCCUUAGAGCACCGAGGAGACAUACCAAUAGGGUCCUUUUUGGAGCAGGUCUGUAACCCGCCCUAGGGUCCUAAAGUUCCAAAAGAUUAGUUAGUGGUUCGUAGUGAAGUAGACAUGGACAACCUAAUAGUCGCGGGAUACGACCUGCUAGUUCGGAACUUUCACGUUUUGUUUUUAUAACCGGUGGAAGGAGCGGUGGAGAGGUCCGUGCACUCUCGAGGGGUUCAAGGAGCCUCGUACUGUAAAUACGAAGGUCCGGUAAAGACGGUAACCCAGUUUUAGGGGUCCUUCUCGUAUUGGUUUCUCGAGUAUGGAACGGAGUUUUAAGACGCUUAAGAGUCCCAGCCGGAUCAGACGUUCGUCGAGACAGUGUCCGAAGAGUCGUCUGAGUUUUCGUGGGACGACACGUCAGUUUCGGUGUAGGCUUCGGUAAAGUAGUUGGGAAAAGUGUUCUUUUAAGGAGUAGCGAUAAAUCUGGCAGACAGGUAGACGGAGACAGAUGGCCUUACCUUCUCGUCAGACUUCUCCACAGGAACGGGUCACCAAGGCGUGUACGUUUCAGUCUAGUCUAUUCACGAUCAUUAAACAACCGGCCAGAAAAAUUCCCACCUAAGUAUGGUUUGUGUUCACUAGUGCGACAGGGUGUAAGUGUACCCAACCGUAGAGAAGGUAGAAGGAGACGGUCGCUUUUACGGGGAAGCUUCGGAGUACGUGGUUUGAGAGAGGCGGGUGGAAACGGCGGUCCAGGCGGUGGUUGUGUCUCACGACUCUUUCGACGACGUGGUGACAGUUCAGAAGAGUCAAGAGACCAACGUUUCCCGGAUUAAAGAAGUGGCAGGUGGCUAAGUAGACGACAACGUUCUUUCGGGUCAUUUAGUUCAGACUCGUGUAGUCUACAGUCACGAAGUCGAGGUGGAGGUGGUUAGCAGGUCGGAAGUCAACGAUUCCUCUGUGGACGGGGAUAUUUUCGAAACAACGGGUUUGGAGGACAUCAGCUCUACCGACUGGAUUAGCCGGAGCUCAAGUUCGGUCACCACGAAGCGCUCGUGGCAUGUCUCCACCAGUUGUCUGAGAAACUACUGGUUUCGGUAGCUACGUCUUCUACACCAAAUUCUAAGUCUGAACUUCUACUCGAGUCACGUGUGUGACGGACGUUACCUGGUCUCCUCCGAUCUUUAUGACCGUAGCGUGGACUUUCUACCAUGGGAUCGUUCUCGGCGACCUAACUGUCUAAUGGACUUGGCGUCUCGUAGAAGGACCUGAGACGUAGACUAAGUCUGGACCCUUGGCGUCUCCUUCGAACACUCAAAUACCAGGGACGUCUACUCUCGGUCUAAUAGACGACAGAAACACCCCUCGUCAAACUACUGUACAUAAGGUAGCUAUCCUCGCUCACCUACAUGUUCCUACGACGCAUAAUACUAGCGAGUUUCCGUCUUCCACCGUCGAGGGUUUCAUUUCUCGAGCGUGGGUAUCAGGUACGUUCUACAUACGGUCCUUAGAGUUUGCUACCGUACGUCCACCUAAUCAUACCCAACAGUACAGUAUAUCGUCGUCUUUGUCGUCGUCGUCGAGUCUACUACUGUAACUCCACCUAACAGUUUCUUCAGACCACGGGUCGUCUCGGAGUUUGCUACCGUACCUCCGUUUGUAAGGCACUCCAGCCACGUGUCGCUGCUAACUAUUAUAUGACGUCCACCCCACUACUGUCGAAGCCGUUGUAAAACCAGGGAACUAGAGGUGGUUAACAGUACAUCUUUUCCACAAGAAUGUCUUUCUUAUUUGUAUGGCUCGGUUAAUCAGCCGUAAAACUAGGGUCGCUCAGUUGUAAAACCCUCCCACCCCAGUCUACUGUAUUCAAACUAGAAAGACAACAAGUAUCCUCCGGUACAUACGAUCACUUUUCUCACAUAAUAAUAACAGGGAAUCGGUCCGCUCGCUUUGCCCACUCCGGUCGCAGCAGCAGCUCAAUGACGACAAAAACUGUUUGAAAAAGAGUCGAAAACUCUACAUCAUCGCCAAAAACAUGAAUUUUGGUUUGACUGUUAUCUUGAAGUAGUACCUACCUACGUAUAAACUUGAUGGUCACAACAAUCGAGAACGAACGAACAGACAGACAGUAACAUAGACGGUGACAAUAAGUCGGUACACGGUAAGAC
rnacentral:rRNA from 1 species